rnacentral:rRNA from 1 species
UUUCCGUAGGUGAACCUGCGGAAGGAUCAUUAAAGAGAUAGGGUCUUCAUGGCCCGACCUCCAACCCUCUGUUGUUAAAACUACCUUGUUGCUUUGGCGGGACCGUCUCGGUCUCCGAGCGCACUAACCCUCGGGUUGGUGAGCGCCCGCCAGAGUCCAACCAAACUCUUGUAUUAAACCAGUCGUCUGAGUAUAAAAUUUUAAUUAAAUUAAAACUUUCAACAACGGAUCUCUUGGUUCUCGCAUCGAUGAAGAACGCAGCGAAAUGCGAUAAGUAAUGUGAAUUGCAGAAUUCAGUGAAUCAUCGAAUCUUUGAACGCACAUUGCGCCCCUUGGUAUUCCGAGGGGCAUGCCUGUUCGAGCGUCAUUACACCACUCAAGCAUCGCUUGGUAUUGGGAACGGUCCGUCGAAAGGCGGGCCUUCCUCGAAGACCUCGGCGGGGUUCAACCAACUUCGGGCGUAGUAGAGUUAAAUCGAACGUCUUAUAAGCUUGGUCGGAUCUCAUUGCCGUUAAACCUUUAAAUUUUCUAGGUUGACCUCGGAUCAGGUAGGGAUACCCGCUGAACUUAAGCAUAUC